rnacentral:rRNA from 1 species
GACGAACGCUGGCGGCGUGCUUAACACAUGCAAGUCGAACGGAAAGGCCCUGCUUUUGUGGGGUGCUCGAGUGGCGAACGGGUGAGUAACACGUGAGUAACCUGCCCUUGACUUUGGGAUAACUUCAGGAAACUGGGGCUAAUACCGGAUAGGAGCUCCUGCUGCAUGGUGUGGGUUGGAAAGUUUCGGCGGAUGGGGAUGGACUCGCGGCUUAUCAGCUUGUUGGUGGGGUAGUGGCUUACCAAGGCUUUGACGGGUAGCCGGCCUGAGAGGGUGACCGGCCACAUUGGGACUGAGAUACGGCCCAGACUCCUACGGGAGGCAGCAGUGGGGAAUAUUGCACAAUGGGCGGAAGCCUGAUGCAGCAACGCCGCGUGCGGGAUGACGGCCUUCGGGUUGUAAACCGCUUUCGCCUGUGACGAAGCGUGAGUGACGGUAAUGGGUAAAGAAGCACCGGCUAACUACGUG